AGCCUGAUGAGAAGAUGGUCAACUACCU
rnacentral:piRNA from 1 species